GACGAACGCUGGCGGCGUGCUUAACACAUGCAAGUCGAACGGAAAGGCCCUGCUUUUGUGGGGUGCUCGAGUGGCGAACGGGUGAGUAACACGUGAGUAACCUGCCCUUGACUUUGGGAUAACUUCAGGAAACUGGGGCUAAUACCGGAUAGGAGCUCCUGCUGCAGGGUGGGGGUUGGAAAGUUUCGGCGGUUGGGGAUGGACUCGCGGCUUAUCAGCUUGUUGGUGGGGUAGUGGCUUACCAAGGCUUUGACGGGUAGCCGGCCUGGGAGGGUGACCGGCCACAUUGGGACUGAGAUACGGCCCAGACUCCUACGGGAGGCAGCAGUGGGGAAUAUUGCACAAUGGGCGGAAGCCUGAUGCAGCAACGCCGCGUGCGGGAUGACGGCCUUCGGGUUGUAAACCGCUUUCGCCUGUGACGAAGCGUGAGUGACGGUAAUGGGUAAAGAAGCACCGGCUAACUACGUG
rnacentral:rRNA from 1 species